CCCCUGACUGUUCUAAGAAAUGGGGCAAAAAGCACUUUCUGAGAACUCAAAAGAAAAAAAAAAACUACUUUUAUGUAGACUUCUGCAAAAAUGUGAAACAUCAAGUCUUCUCCCUGCCCCUACUGGGUAUAAAGUUCAAAGAAUUUCUAGAUUUUUGGUCCAGAGGAGAAUUUCAGGCAUUAGUGCUCUCUGGACCAGCCAGCUGCAGCCAAUAAACCUUCUUCCUGAAAAUUCUGUCCUACUUCAAUAGGGACGGUGUGCCUCCUAUGCUAUUUGCUUUGGCCAGAAAGUUUAAUCCAAUAGACUCAACAACAUGCAUUUGAGACCUACUGUCUGAUUGGAACCAAAGUGAAAAUAGAAGGUCAAAAACGGUGGUGGGCAGAAAAACUGCAGGCAUUUGGGUAGUCACCUAAUGUCCCAGUGUUGCACACUUCUGUCUACCACUUUUCACCAAUUUUUUUCUUGUUGUACCUAUGGCUCCUCAGCUGAACAACAUUUCCCAGCCUCCUUGGCAGUUAUAUGUGGCUCAUGUGCUUAAGUUCUUACCAAUGGCAUGCAAGCAGAAGUGAUGUGACUACUUACUAUCUUAUAGUUGUAACUUUCUUUUCUUUCUAGUUUUCUGGGGAUGAUGCUAACCCAAGUCAUGUAUUGAGGAUGGCAAAACUUCCCAGAAUGGCCUGGGCUGCCAAGACGACUUCCUAGAGCAGAGCCUGCCCUCCCACUCUGGACUGUAAUAUGGAGACAAAAGAAGCUGGAGCAGCAUAGAUGCACUGGAAGAUUAGAGAUCCAUAAUACUGAAGAAAGUGAACUGAGGAGGGAUCUCUGUGGAUGAGUCAUCUGUCUUCACUUCAGCUAGACCAGUGAUACAGGAGAACCCUAAAGGAAGAUUGGUGGACAACCAGGAUGAAUAGAAGAGAAAAAGACUGACAAGACUUCCUCAAUUGCUCCUACUGAUUAGUGGGGACCAUUUCUAUAACUCCUUGAACCUAUUCUCCCUGCAACUCUGAUCCCGAUUUUUUAUUAAAUGGCUAAAUUGCCCUUUUAGAUCAAAACUUUCUUCACUAUAUCAAUCAAAGAAGGCUGACUUCAGCCUAUGUCAUUGUUAAGGAUAUUGAAUGUAUCAAAGAUGAUGGUUUUGUCCUAUUCAUUAUCCCAACUAGUAACUCUUUGUGCAUCAGUGGCUGGCAUUCAGAAAUGCUUUUUUCUGGGUCCUUUCUUACUUUUUUUUUUUUUUUGGCAGUAAUGAGAAUUGAACCCAGGGCCUCAUGCAUGCUUGGUAGGCACUCUACCAUUGAGCUAUAUCCCUAGUCUCCUAGGUUCUUGGAAAUUUGUAAUUGAUGUUCUGUUCUAGAGGAGGCAGAAUAGAACAUGGGCUGUGCCAUGGGUCACACCUGUGUUUAGAUUCUGCUUGUGUCACUAGCCAUGUGACCUUGAGAACACUGGAAAAGCUCUAUUAGAUUUGUGAAAACUUUUUCUCAUUUGUAAAAUGAGAAUAGCAAUAUCUAAGUCACACGGAUAUUGUGAGAAAUCCAUAAAUAAAUGUAUGCUAAGUUUCUAGAAAGGUCUCUAGCACAAAGUUGUAUUUAAUAAGUAAAUGUAUGUAAAAUUUCUAGAA